AACAGCUCAAUGCCAGGUGUCAGCACCAAGACUCAGCUACCUGGCUGUCAUGGUACCAACCGAUGCCCCUAGAAUGGUCCUGCCCAAUUUCUCCUGGAAACUACAAUGACAGCACUUGGUUUGAGUGGGAGUUGCGUAAGUCUCAGACAGUGAAUCUGAAAUAAGACUUUGGAAAACAGUCAGACCACCAACAUCGAACCAAAGAUCAUCAUAGCACAUCUCCGCUGCCUGGGACAUGAGAGGGGAACCAGUGACAACAGGAUACACAAACAGCUGCUCUAUGGAAAGUUGUAUUCCUUACAAAAAAAUCUCCUCCACUUCAUUAACUGGAGAGUAUGAUUUCCGAGGGACAAACAGAGGUUCAUGGCAACUCCAGUUCAUGGCCAAAGAACACAGCUGUUGACCCUUUCAAUAACCCCUUCUUAUUUGACAUCUGCAAACAUUCUAAGGCAGUUAACUGAUUUUAUCUCCCAGAUUCCCAACAGAAAGCAAGCAAACAAAAGGUAACACCCUCUUAUAACUGGUCUUGAAAGCAUCAGCCUCAUUUCCUUAAGAAGAACUCUAGGAAAUGAUGACUCUGGCCCCUAAAUUUUUAUGGGUCUAAUAAAAUACAUUAAU